GGAGGCGGGAUGGGCGAUUCGGUCCUCCCUGCGGAAGGAGCUCCCCAGGGGAGCGGGGCUUUGGGCAGCCUCGGUCUCGGGCACAAAUGAAGGCCCGAAGAAGGGCCCGUUUCCGCCGCGGGAAGUUCCCAGCCAGGUGCGGGCCUUCCUGACGGAGGGGCGCAUGCGCGGGCCAAGCUUGCAAUCACCACCUCCCCUCCCCCAUCCUGGAGAAGAGAAAGCGGAACCCGAGCGGAAGAGGCCUCCCUGCCGUUAGAGGAAGCCCGCGAGGCUGUCAUGGAACAGGAAGGGAGUCUGAGAGCUCCUCAAGAUCGCAGACCUGGGGACAGUUUCACUAUAUUAACCUGAACCGGCAGCUGGGGAGCUCCCUGAGGGCAGGGGAUGCCCGCCACAGUCCUGGAUGUCCCCCAUAGCUCAUAGCCCAGGACCCGGCACAGAGCGAGCCGCUUACAUGCUUCUGGGUACUAAAGAGCUCCAAGGGGAUAAGCUCGGCCCUUCUGGCACCUGCGGGAGACUUCCAGGCCCUUCAGUCCCAAGCUGGGACUUCAUAGAGGGUCAUAGGGCGAUCCCCUGAAAGGAGCUGUUAGGAAAUAGAGUCCAGCAGCCUCAACUUACAUCUGGGAAAACUGAGGCUGAAUCUGAGUCCCACAAGGGGCCCUCUGGGAGGUUCUGGUUGGGUUUUGAACCAUCUCCCUGUGCUAGGCAUGAGGGGAGGAGGGUAUGCAAUUAGAAUCUUGCAUUCUAAAAACUACAUUUCCCAGAAUCCCUUUCCUUUCGUCCCCACCUUAAGUCCUUCGGUUUUGUAAAUAAAAGUCUGUAACCUCAACUCCUCUCUCUGUUCUCUUGCCAUUGAAGUCUGGGCAAGCUUCUCUUUACCGUUUGUUUUCAUCUGUUUCCUCUACUUCAAGUGACUAUUAAUAAAUCUUAUAAAAUAUAAUAUAAAA